GACGAACGCUGGCGGCGUGCUUAACACAUGCAAGUCGAACGGUAAGGCUCCAGCUUGCUGGGGUACACGAGUGGCGAACGGGUGAGUAACACGUGGGUGACCUGCCCUGCACUUCGGGAUAAGCCUGGGAAACUGGGUCUAAUACCGGAUAGGACCGCACCGUGAGGGUGUGGUGGAAAGUUUUUUCGGUGUGGGAUGGGCCCGCGGCCUAUCAGCUUGUUGGUGGGGUAAUGGCCUACCAAGGCGGCGACGGGUAGCCGGCCUGAGAGGGUGGACGGCCACAUUGGGACUGAGACACGGCCCAGACUCCUACGGGAGGCAGCAGUGGGGAAUAUUGCACAAUGGGCGGAAGCCUGAUGCAGCGACGCCGCGUGGGGGAUGACGGCCUUCGGGUUGUAAACUCCUUUCACCAUCGACGAAGGGUUUCUGACGGUAGAUGGAGAAGAAGCACCGGCUAACUACGUGCCAGCAGCCGCGGUAAUACGUAGGGUGCGAGCGUUGUCCGGAAUUACUGGGCGUAAAGAGCUCGUAGGUGGUUUGUCGCGUCGUCUGUGAAAUUCCGGGGCUUAACUCCGGGCGUGCAGGCGAUACGGGCAUAACUUGAGUACUGUAGGGGAGACUGGAGUUCCUGGUGUAGCGGUGAAAUGCGCAGAUAUCAGGAGGAACACCGGUGGCGAAGGCGGGUCUCUGGGCAGUAACUGACGCUGAGGAGCGAAAGCAUGGGGAGCGAACAGGAUUAGAUACCCUGGUAGUCCAUGCCGUAAACGGUGGGCGCUAGGUGUGGGUUUCCUUCCACGGGAUCCGUGCCGUAGCUAACGCAUUAAGCGCCCCGCCUGGGGAGUACGGCCGCAAGGCUAAAACUCAAAGGAAUUGACGGGGGCCCGCACAAGCGGCGGAGCAUGUGGAUUAAUUCGAUGCAACGCGAAGAACCUUACCUGGGCUUGACAUAUACAGGAUCGCGCCAGAGAUGGUGUUUCCCUUGUGGCUUGUAUACAGGUGGUGCAUGGUUGUCGUCAGCUCGUGUCGUGAGAUGUUGGGUUAAGUCCCGCAACGAGCGCAACCCUUGUCUUAUGUUGCCAGCACGUUGUGGUGGGGACUCGUAAGAAACUGCCGGGGUUAACUCGGAGGAAGGUGGGGAUGACGUCAAAUCAUCAUGCCCCUUAUGUCCAGGGCUUCACACAUGCUACAAUGGUCGGUACAGUGGGUUGCCAGUCCGUGAGGGCGAGCUAAUCCCGCAAAGCCGGUCUCAGUUCGGAUCGGGGUCUGCAACUCGACCCCGUGAAGUCGGAGUCGCUAGUAAUCGCAGAUCUGCAACGCUGCGGUGAAUACAAUCCCGGGCCU
rnacentral:rRNA from 1 species